rnacentral:rRNA from 1 species
GAUGAACGCUGGCGGCGUGCCUAAUACAUGCAAGUCGAGCGAACGGACGAGAAGCUUGCUUCUCUGAUGUUAGCGGCGGACGGGUGAGUAACACGUGGAUAACCUACCUAUAAGACUGGGAUAACUUCGGGAAACCGGAGCUAAUACCGGAUAAUAUUUUGAACCGCAUGGUUCAAAAGUGAAAGACGGUCUUGCUGUCACUUAUAGAUGGAUCCGCGCUGCAUUAGCUAGUUGGUAAGGUAACGGCUUACCAAGGCAACGAUGCAUAGCCGACCUGAGAGGGUGAUCGGCCACACUGGAACUGAGACACGGUCCAGACUCCUACGGGAGGCAGCAGUAGGGAAUCUUCCGCAAUGGGCGAAAGCCUGACGGAGCAACGCCGCGUGAGUGAUGAAGGUCUUCGGAUCGUAAAACUCUGUUAUUAGGGAAGAACAUAUGUGUAAGUAACUGUGCACAUCUUGACGGUACCUAAUCAGAAAGCCACGGCUAACUACGUGCCAGCAGCCGCGGUAAUACGUAGGUGGCAAGCGUUAUCCGGAAUUAUUGGGCGUAAAGCGCGCGUAGGCGGUUUUUUAAGUCUGAUGUGAAAGCCCACGGCUCAACCGUGGAGGGUCAUUGGAAACUGGAAAACUUGAGUGCAGAAGAGGAAAGUGGAAUUCCAUGUGUAGCGGUGAAAUGCGCAGAGAUAUGGAGGAACACCAGUGGCGAAGGCGACUUUCUGGUCUGUAACUGACGCUGAUGUGCGAAAGCGUGGGGAUCAAACAGGAUUAGAUACCCUGGUAGUCCACGCCGUAAACGAUGAGUGCUAAGUGUUAGGGGGUUUCCGCCCCUUAGUGCUGCAGCUAACGCAUUAAGCACUCCGCCUGGGGAGUACGACCGCAAGGUUGAAACUCAAAGGAAUUGACGGGGACCCGCACAAGCGGUGGAGCAUGUGGUUUAAUUCGAAGCAACGCGAAGAACCUUACCAAAUCUUGACAUCCUUUGACAACUCUAGAGAUAGAGCCUUCCCCUUCGGGGGACAAAGUGACAGGUGGUGCAUGGUUGUCGUCAGCUCGUGUCGUGAGAUGUUGGGUUAAGUCCCGCAACGAGCGCAACCCUUAAGCUUAGUUGCCAUCAUUAAGUUGGGCACUCUAAGUUGACUGCCGGUGACAAACCUGAGGAAGGUGGGGAUGACGUCAAAUCAUCAUGCCCCUUAUGAUUUGGGCUACACACGUGCUACAAUGGACAAUACAAAGGGCAGCGAAACCGCGAGGUCAAGCAAAUCCCAUAAAGUUGUUCUCAGUUCGGAUUGUAGUCUGCAACUCGACUACAUGAAGCUGGAAUCGCUAGUAAUCGUAGAUCAGCAUGCUACGGUGAAUACGUUCCCGGGUCU